UUAUGCUUCCCAAAAUGUGAAGGAUGUAUGGGGUUUCAAGAUCUUUACUCAUUCAAAUUGGCUGUGUUGGCUAAGCAAUGUUUGAGAUUAAUCACAGAUCCAGAGUCCCUUUGUGCUCGUGUGUUGAAAGCUAAAUAUUACCCAAAUGGAAGUCUAUUACAAGCAACACCAAAAUAG
rnacentral:rRNA from 1 species